CGCCGAAGUGGGGGAAGCAGUUGGGCUCGCCCCUUUCCACGACCGCGCGCGCUGCGGGUUGGGAAUCUCUCCCCCCCGCGCGCGACGAAAGCGACGCGUGCGUGCGUGCGCGUCGCGUUUGCGUCUGCGUUGCGCGCGCGGCCGGCCGGGCCGUGCUGCCUGCUGCGGCGACGGCGACGGCUCCGCUCGCCUCCACCGGUGCCUCCUGCGCGCGGGGCGGCCUGGCGCGGGCGAGAGCGCGAUUUGGUUAACCCGGCCGGGUGGCCGGUCCCGCUUGCGUGCGGGGCGCGAGCUGCUGGCUAAUCGGGCGGGCGGGACCAAAACGGCAGCCAGUUCGAUUCGAUUCGGCAGCUCGAUCGGCCUGCUGAUGGCGACGUCUCUGUGCUGAUUGCUUUUGUGGUCAACAAGAGAGAAGGAGCUGCUCUCAGGAGCUAGCGAGUGCGUCUGCAUGCUGUGCUUCUAUUGGAGGCAAGAUAAAAUCCUUUGAUUCCAAGCAACCGAUCGAUCACCUACGCUUUAAAAAUUGGAGAUAUUGACUUGUCGUUGGUAUAUACUACCU